rnacentral:rRNA from 1 species
AGAGUUUGAUCCUGGCUCAGGACGAACGCUGGCGGCAGGCCUAACACAUGCAAGUCGAGCGCUGUAGCAAUACAGAGCGGCGCACGGGUGAGUAACACGUGGGAACGUGCCCUUUGGUUCGGAAUAACUCAGGGAAACUUGAGCUAAUACCGGAUGAGCCCUAACGGGGAAAGAUUUAUCGCCGAAGGAGCGGCCCGCGUUGGAUUAGCUAGUUGGUGGGGUAAAAGCCUACCAAGGCGACGAUCCAUAGCUGGUUUGAGAGAACGACCAGCCACACUGGGACUGAGACACGGCCCAGACUCCUACGGGAGGCAGCAGUGGGGAAUCUUGGACAAUGGGGGAAACCCUGAUCCAGCCAUGCCGCGUGAGUGAUGAAGGCCCUAGGGUUGUAAAACUCUUUCGGCGGGGACGAUAAUGACGGUACCCGCAGAAGAAGCUCCGGCUAACUUCGUGCCAGCAGCCGCGGUAAUACGAAGGGGGCUAGCGUUGUUCGGAAUUACUGGGCGUAAAGCGCGCGCAGGCGGUUCUUCAAGUCAGAGGUGAAAGCCCAGGGCUCAACCCUGGAAUGGCCUUUGAGACUAGAGGACUUGGGUACGGGAGAGGUGAGUGGAAUUCCGAGUGUAGAGGUGAAAUUCGUAGAUAUUCGGAAGAACACCAGUGGCGAAGGCGGCUCACUGGCCCGUUACCGACGCUCAGGCGCGACAGCGUGGGGAGCAAACAGGAUUAGAUACCCCGGUAGUCC